UUCGUCACAAUUAACAAGCUCUCCCGAAGAUGAAACAAGCAGUACAGAAAUGGAGAGCUGUGCCUCGAAUGUACUUGUCCAUAGCGCCACCAAGCGGCACAAUCAUUUUAUAAAUAUUGCUAAACCGGUAAUUCAGUUAUUCUAGGAGUUCGACGCUGGGUGGCAGUAGAUUUCUUUUUCAAGCGGCCUUGAAAACCAGCGUUGGAAAUAAGUCACAUUCAAGGAUGAGCACUUCUUCUCCUAAUCUUUACUGCAGUGAUAAUAGGGGAACGGCUGUGGAAAGAGGAAACAAAGCUUCCCUUCCCCACUUCAGCACUAUUAGAACACACUGUUUUCAGGUUUGCAAAUUUCUGGACCCGUUGUUCUCAAUACAGUUUCACAUGGUGGCUCUUUUUGCAGAUCUUGGAAUUAAUACUUCUUGAAUUUAACAUAUGCAAGUAUCCUGGAAUUGCCACAGACCCCGGAUGACUGACUACACCUGGGAAGCUUUAUAUGACACUGCACUUUCUGCUGCCCAGACAAACCAGGGCGUUCCCACUGAAUGGCCUUCACACAAUAUUAACAGAGUUUAAUGUUUCCUUCGAGUAAUGUGAUCACUGCACCCUAAAGAUUGUCCUGCACUCUUCAAGAUGCAGGUCCUAAGCCUUUUGUGUACCUAGAGAAUGGCUUAUUACUACUGUGAGUUCUGGCUUAUUAACUAUAACAAUCAUUUUGUUCACCUAUACAAAAUGUCAAAUGUCAUCUAACUGCUUAAUCAGCGUUUCAAGAAAUAAAAAGCCAUUGCCUGAGUAAGAAAGACUGAUGUGAUGAAACAUCUUGGAGGCCCUCCUCAGUACUAAUUAAAAUAAUAGACAUUGU